CCUACGGGGUGCACCAGUGGGGAAUAUUGCACAAUGGGCGUAAGCCUGAUGCAGCCAUGCCGCGUGUAUGGAGAAGGCCUUAGGGUUGUAAAGUACUUUCAGUUGGGAGGAAGGCGUUGAUGCUAAUAUCAUCAACGAUUGACGUUACCAACAGAAGAAGCACCGGCUAACUCCGUGCCAGCAGCCGCGGUAAUACGGAGGGGGCAAGCGUUGAUCGGAAUUACUGGGCGUAAAGCGCACGCAGGCGGUUGAUUAAGUUAGAUGUGAAAUCCCCGGGCGUAACCUGGGAAUGGCAUCUAAGACUGGUCAGCUAGAGUCUUGUAGAGGGGGGUAGAAUUCCAUGUGUAGCGGUGAAAUGCGUAGAGGUGUGGAGGAAUACCGGUGGCGAAGGCGGCCCCCUGGACAAAGACUGACGCUCAGGUGCGGAAGCGUGGGGAGCAAACAGGAUUAGAUACCCCUGUAGUC
rnacentral:rRNA from 1 species